rnacentral:lncRNA from 1 species
GUUUCCUGAGUCUGAAGCUGCUUUGAGCCUCUUCCUGAGGGCUGCUUUCCUUUUUCAAGCAUUUUUCAAGCGAGAGAACUUCUAUUAGCCUGUCUUGACCCUUUGUUGUUCUUCCAUUGCAUGGAUGGAGUGUGUCUGAGUUUCCUGCAGCAUCAGGAGAGGGAGACAGAGACACCAUGACUUCUACCAAGAUGCUGCUGCUCUUGCUGUCCAUGGCUUUGGUCGCCCUGUGCUCUGCUCAGGGCAUCAGUGAUGAUGAUGAAUUAUUGGAAGAGAGCCCAGAGGAAUUACAAGUCCAACCUCAAGAAGAAAAUGGAGAUCCAAGAGGCAAACCUGGGGACAAAGGCCAUGGUCCACCAAAGAAGCCUCAUAACCAGGGUGUCCAGGGAGUUCCCAAAGGCCCACAUGGCCCAGGUGGCCCUCAAGGACCAGGUAGCCAAAAAGGACCAGGUGGCCCACAAGGACCAGGUGGCCAAGGUCGUCCAGGCAGCCAGGGUCGUCCAGGUGGCCCACAGNCGGCCAGCGUCAUCCAGGUGGCCCCCAAGGCCCAGCUGGCCAACAAGGACCAGGUAGCCAACAAGGACCAGGUGGUCAAGGUCGUCCAGGUGGCCCACAAGGACCAGCUGGCCAACAGGUACCAGGUGGCCAAGGUCAUCGAGGUGGCCAACAAGGACCCGGUGGCAAAGGUGGUCCAGGUGGCCCACAAGGACCAGCCGGCCAACAAGGACCUGGGGGCCAAGGUGGUCCAGGAGGCCAACAAGGGCCAGGUGGCCCACAAGGACCAGCUGGCCAACAAGGACCAGAUGGACAAGGUCGUCCAGGUGGCCAACAAGGACCCGCUAGCCAACAAGGACCCGGUGGCCAAAAUGGUUCAGGUGGCCCACAAGGACCAGCUGGCCAACAAGGACCAGGUAGCCAACAAGGACCAGCUGGCCAACAGGGACCAGGGAGUCAACAAGUACCAGGUGGCCAAGGUCGUCCAGGUGGCCCACAAGGACCAGCUGGCCAACAGGGACCAGGUAACCAACAAGCACCAGGUGGCCAAGGUCGUCCAGGUGGCCCACAAGGACCCAGUAGCCAACAAGGACCCGGUGGCCAAGGUGGUCCUGGUGGUCCACAAGGACCAGCUGGCCAACAAGGACCUGGGGGCCAAGGUGGUCCAGGAGGCCAACAAGGACCAGCUGGCCAACAAGAACCAGCUGGCCAACAAGGACCAGGUGGCUCACAAGGACCAGCUGGACAACAAGGACCAGGUGGCCAAGGUCGUCCUGUUGGCCCUGUUGGCCCUGGUGGCCCUGGUGCCCAGAGAAACCAACAGGGAAGAGAUGAGCAGCGUGGUCAGCCUGGUGGCCAGUGACAAGGAAAACCAACUAAAGAGGACCUCCGCUGAUUCUCUAGAAAUGCAUAGAGAUCAAGUGGUGACCAUGGAGUUUUCAGUGGUGGGAACUUGGCCUUUCCUUUCUCCGACUUCAAAUCAUCAAUAAAG